ACUUUCAACAACGGAUCUCUUGGCUCUCGCAUCGAUGAAGAACGCAGCGAAAUGCGAUAAGUAGUGUGAAUUGCAGAAUUUUGUGAAUCAUCGAAUCUUUGAACGCAAAUUGCACUCUCUGGUAUUCCGGGGAGUAUGCCUGUUUGAGGGUC
rnacentral:rRNA from 1 species